AAUGAAAGUUGCUCAAUCACAGGAUGAUGCGGAAAGCCUGCUAGGGGCUUUCUAGUUAAAGCACAGAAGUGGGAGGCAAGAAGAGCAGGUUCUGUUCUUACUGCCAGCACCUGCAUGCAACCUUGAGCAAGCCAUCAGUUUUCGCUGCUCAUUUUCUCUGUAUGUGAAAUGAAAAUAAUUGUGCUCAUAGGACUGCUCCUAAGCUAACUUCACCUCCAUCUGAGAAGCACUUUGGGAUCUUCAGAAACUGAAGUAAUUUCGGCACGACAUUCAGUCUCUGACUCACUUUUAUCCUCAGUAAAGGUGACACAUGGCAGAAGAACAAGGCAUGGAGUUGCCCUGGCUUCAGCUCUUUCCUGUUUAGUCAGAGCGAGCUGCUGGAGCCGUGUUUAUCCCCAGCAUCGCACCAGCAAUCCUCCCUGAAGACAUCUGUCAGGGGAAGAAGUUCCUUUCGCCCUUUUAUACAGGGAGAUUAGAGAAAGCAGCAGAGUGCGUGGCUUUGCAGGUGAGGAUUACACAGCAACCCCCAGACCAGUAUGAGCUGUGUGCAGAAUAAUGUUGGGUUAGCAUCAACAACAAGAACGCCUUUACCUCGCACGCCAGCAGCAGACAGCAUCACACACAAGCUCAUCAUGCAGGGCGACAGCCACCAGCGUUCUGGUGUAAAAACCUCCAGAACAAGCUGCUAUUUUCAGGCCAAGAACAGGAUACAGCUGCCAGCACCACCUAUCUUCUGCAGGUUAAGCAGCAAUGCUCAGCUCUUUGUGAGAGCCCAGAAAUCCCAGCCCACGGAGCCUUUCUGACCAGCUCCCAUCCCAUAGCCCCGGCAGGAAGCCCAUCUAACCUGCCAGCUGGGACGAAGGCCCAAGCCACUUGCCAGCACCUGUGCCAGUUUAUAGUCUUGGCCAGCUGCUCUUCCAGGGUUUUACAGAUCAGGAAACUGCUAUCCUGCUCAUCAAAUAAAGAGAGGAUAUGCUUUAAGAGUAGGAAAAUUACCAGCUUUUGUUGUACCUGCUCAAGCACUAUGCUUAGAGAAGGCAGAACCCAAACCUCUGUAAGUCGUUUGCUUUCUACCAAAGCGAGCUGAGAAGAGAGAAAUGGAAACUGUCAGAAAUUACCUGAAUCAGGCAUACAGCGUUAUCUUUAUGCAAUGUGACUUUGUCUCAGACUGAAAUAGGGCACAGCUGAAUUCGUAACUAGCCUAGCAUUCACCCUUCUGUCCUUGUGUAAAUUAAAACCCGCACCUUUGGAACAACAACCGCAGUCUUUUUGGAAGGCUCCAUGUGGAGCCACCUUGGCAGGUGACUGGGAUCUUACAACUCCCUAUUUUAGGUCAACUUCUAUCCUAGGAUUUUAUAUCUUCCCCGCCCUAACAAAAUGACACCUGCUUUUGGCCAGAUGGACAAAAAUGAACUGAACCACUGGUACUAAUGUACAAGCUAUGCGUCAGCUUAGGAACAGCUGAAUGUAAUUCAUCUCUUAAGGCUCUAUGCCAUCACUGAUAGUAAGACAAUACAAUAUUAUGGUAAAGUAGUUAAAAUCUACUAUACUACAGAUGCAAUCUCUAAGGUGAGGGAAAAGCCUAAUUUAAAAAAAAAAAAAAAAAAAAAAAAGAAGAGGGAAUGCUUGGAAACUAUCAAAAUGUGACAAGGCCACGGGCUCGUAAACUCAGCUAAUUUGCACGCAUGAUGCAAAUCCACGUGUAAACACGCUUCCCUUAACAAGGUGACACUGCUGCUGUAAGAGCAUUCCAUAGUGUGCUGCUGGGCUUUUUUAUGCCUGGCUUUCUUUUCCAUGGAUAUGCACGAAAAUGCAAUGUAAAAAUGGGGUGGGGUAUUUUUAAAUUGAUAUUUAUUAGUAAAGCAUUCCAAAUUAGAUGUGGACAAGACUGCUAAAGAGUAGACUAUAACACUUGGUUUAAUUUUUUAUUUUUUUUUUGCCAUGAAACAUGUUGGAGAUGUAGCCAGUGAUUAGAUCUGGCGAUUCUGCAAUAAGGAUGUACCUUCAGUGAAGAUUUUUGAAGAUACAUUCCUGAGGUUUUUGCAGCACCGGUGCGUGAUUUGGUGGUGAUUUAAAAAUAAAACUAGCUGGCAAAUCUUUCUUUUCUUCGCUACCUUUCAAAAAGCUUCCAAUUUAAGU